UUAAGUUAGAAAGGGCGCACGGUGGAUGCCUUGACACUAGGAGUCGAUGAAGGACGGGACUAACGCCGAUAUGCUUCGGGGAGCUGUAAGUAAGCUUUGAUCCGAAGAUUUCCGAAUGGGGAAACCCACCAUACGUAAUGGUAUGGUAUCCUUAUCUGAAUACAUAGGAUAAGGAAGACAGACCCAGGGAACUGAAACAUCUAAGUACCUGGAGGAAGAGAAAGCAAAUGCGAUUUCCUGAGUAGCGGCGAGCGAAACGGAACAUAGCCCAAACCAAGAGGCUUGCCUCUUGGGGUUGUAGGACAUUCUAUACGGAGUUACAAAGGAACGAGGUAGACGAAGCGACCUGGAAAGGUCCGUCGUAGAGGGUAACAACCCCGUAGUCGAAACUUCGUUCUCUCUUGAAUGUAUCCUGAGUACGGCGGAACACGUGAAAUUCCGUCGGAAUCUGGGAGGACCAUCUCCCAAGGCUAAAUACUCCCUAGUGAUCGAUAGUGAACCAGUACCGUGAGGGAAAGGUGAAAAGCACCCCGGAAGGGGAGUGAAAGAGAUCCUGAAACCGUGUGCCUACAAAUAGUCAGAGCCCGUUAACGGGUGAUGGCGUGCCUUUUGUAGAAUGAACCGGCGAGUUACGAUCCCGUGCGAGGUUAAGCUGAAGAGGCGGAGCCGCAGCGAAAGCGAGUCUGAAUAGGGCGUUUAGUACGUGGUCGUAGACCCGAAACCAGGUGAUCUACCCAUGUCCAGGGUGAAGUUCAGGUAACACUGAAUGGAGGCCCGAACCCACGCACGUUGAAAAGUGCGGGGAUGAGGUGUGGGUAGCGGAGAAAUUCCAAUCGAACCUGGAGAUAGCUGGUUCUCCCCGAAAUAGCUUUAGGGCUAGCCUUAAGUGUAAGAGUCUUGGAGGUAGAGCACUGAUUGGACUAGGGGUCCUCAUCGGAUUACCGAAUUCAGUCAAACUCCGAAUGCCAAUGACUUAUCCUUAGGAGUCAGACUGCGAGUGAUAAGAUCCGUAGUCAAAAGGGAAACAGCCCAGACCGCCAGCUAAGGUCCCAAAGUGUGUAUUAAGUGGAAAAGGAUGUGGAGUUGCUUAGACAACUAGGAUGUUGGCUUAGAAGCAGCCACCAUUUAAAGAGUGCGUAAUAGCUCACUAGUCGAGUGACUCUGCGCUGAAAAUGUACCGGGGCUAAAUACACCACCGAAGCUGCGGAUUGAUACCAAUGGUAUCAGUGGUAGGGGAGCGUUCUAAGGACAGUGAAGUCAGACCGGAAGGACUGGUGGAGUGCUUAGAAGUGAGAAUGCCGGUAUGAGUAGCGAAAGACGGGUGAGAAUCCCGUCCACCGAAUGCCUAAGGUUUCCUGAGGAAGGCUCGUCCGCUCAGGGUUAGUCAGGACCUAAGCCGAGGUCGACAGGCGUAGGCGAUGGACAACAGGUUGAUAUUCCUGUACCACCUCUUUAUCGUUUGAGCAAUGGAGGGACGCAGAAGGAUAGAAGAAGCGUGCGAUUGGUUGUGCACGUCCAAGCAGUUAGGCUGAUAAGUAGGCAAAUCCGCUUAUCGUGAAGGCUGAGCUGUGAUGGGGAAGCUCCUUAUGGAGCGAAGUCUUUGAUUCCCCGCUGCCAAGAAAAGCUUCUAGCGAGAUAAAAGGUGCCUGUACCGCAAACCGACACAGGUAGGCGAGGAGAGAAUCCUAAGGUGUGCGAGAGAACUCUGGUUAAGGAACUCGGCAAAAUGACCCCGUAACUUCGGGAGAAGGGGUGCUUUCUUAACGGAAAGCCGCAGUGAAUAGGCCCAAGCGACUGUUUAGCAAAAACACAGCUCUCUGCGAAGCCGUAAGGCGAAGUAUAGGGGGUGACACCUGCCCGGUGCUGGAAGGUUAAGGAGAGGGGUUAGCGUAAGCGAAGCUCUGAACUGAAGCCCCAGUAAACGGCGGCCGUAACUAUAACGGUCCUAAGGUAGCGAAAUUCCUUGUCGGGUAAGUUCCGACCCGCACGAAAGGUGUAACGAUUUGGGCACUGUCUCAACCAGAGACUCGGUGAAAUUAUAGUACCUGUGAAGAUGCAGGUUACCCGCGACAGGACGGAAAGACCCCGUGGAGCUUUACUGUAGCCUGAUAUUGAAUUUUGGUACAGUUUGUACAGGAUAGGCGGGAGCCUUUGAAACCGGAGCGCUAGCUUCGGUGGAGGCGCUGGUGGGAUACCGCCCUGACUGUAUUGAAAUUCUAACCUACGGGUCUUAUCGACCCGGGAGACAGUGUCAGGUGGGCAGUUUGACUGGGGCGGUCGCCUCCUAAAGUGUAACGGAGGCGCCCAAAGGUUCCCUCAGAAUGGUUGGAAAUCAUUCGUAGAGUGCAAAGGCAUAAGGGAGCUUGACUGCGAGACCUACAAGUCGAGCAGGGACGAAAGUCGGGCUUAGUGAUCCGGUGGUUCCGCAUGGAAGGGCCAUCGCUCAACGGAUAAAAGCUACCCCGGGGAUAACAGGCUUAUCUCCCCCAAGAGUCCACAUCGACGGGGAGGUUUGGCACCUCGAUGUCGGCUCAUCGCAUCCUGGGGCUGUAGUCGGUCCCAAGGGUUGGGCUGUUCGCCCAUUAAAGCGGUACGCGAGCUGGGUUCAGAACGUCGUGAGACAGUUCGGUCCCUAUCCGUCGUGGGCGUAGGAAAUUUGAGAGGAGCUGUCCUUAGUACGAGAGGACCGGGAUGGACGCACCGCUGGUGUACCAGUUGUUCUGCCAAGGGCAUAGCUGGGUAGCUAUGUGCGGAAGGGAUAAGUGCUGAAAGCAUCUAAGCAUGAAGCCCCCCUCAAGAUGAGAUUUCCCAUAGCGUAAGCUAGUAAGAUCCCUGAAAGAUGAUCAGGUUGAUAGGUUCGAGGUGGAAGCAUGGUGACAUGUGGAGCUGACGAAUACUAAUAGAUCGAGGACUUAACCAU
rnacentral:rRNA from 1 species